rnacentral:rRNA from 1 species
GGAUGAGCCCGCGGCCUAUCAGCUUGUUGGUGGGGUAACGGCCUACCAAGGCGACGACGGGUAGCUGGUCUGAGAGGACGACCAGCCACACUGGGACUGAGACACGGCCCAGACUCCUACGGGAGGCAGCAGUGGGGAAUCUUGCGCAAUGGGCGGAAGCCUGACGCAGCGACACCGCGUGGGGGACGAAGGCCUUUCAGGUCGUAAACCCCUUUCGGCAGGGACGAAGCGAUCUCGUGACGGUACCUGCAGAAGAAGCCUCGGCUAACUACGUGCCAGCAGCCGCGGUAACACGUAGGAGGCGAGCGUUGUCCGGAAUCAUUGGGCGUAAAGAGCGCGCAGGCGGCUUGGCAAGUCGGGUGUGAAAACUCGGGGCUUAACUCCGAGCCUGCUUCCGAUACGGGCUGACUAGAGGUAUGCAGGGGAGAACGGAAUUCCUGGUGUAGCGGUGGAAUGCGCAGAUAUCAGGAGGAACACCGGUGGCGAAGGCGGUUCUCUGGGCAUUACCUGACGCUGAGGAGCGAAAGCAUGGGGAGCGAACAGGAUUAGAUACCCUGGUAGUCCACCCCGUAAACGUUGGGAACUAGUUGUGGGGUCCAUUCCACGGAUUCCGUGACGCAGCUAACGCAUUAAGUUCCCCGCCUGGGGAGUACGGCCGCAAGGCUAAAACUCAAAGGAAUUGACGGGGACCCGCACAAGCGGCGGAGCAUGCGGAUUAAUUCGAUGCAACGCGAAGAACCUUAC